rnacentral:lncRNA from 1 species
GGUGUGCUUUGUUAGUGUCAUUCUUUUGUUUAUCUUUGUCUGGGAUAUGAAUUCGGUAUUCAGUCCCAAAUUUAUUGGCCUUGAUUUCCUACAUGUACAGAACCUGCAAAUAAUUUCGUAGUCUUCUUAAGAGUGUAACUAUACAUUGGCACAUCGCCAAUACUUGCCCUUAUAGAAAAAGGAUGAAAUAAGGGGAGAUAGUAAAAUAUAGAGAGUUGAUAGUAAAUUGUGUCUUGGGUGUGCAGAGAGUUAUGGUAUAACUGGGCUUGUUUUCCUAUGUGAAAUAACAUACAUUGAUUUGAGUAGAAACUGUGAUUUACAUAUAUGAUUCAUUUGCAGAAUUGUUUUCUUUCUCGUUUCAUAACUUGCAUUAGCUAGAACUACGAACAAUGUGUAGACUAUAGUUAGAAAAAAGAGCGGCAUACAAUCUCAAAAUGUGCUGGCUGGAAAAGAAAGAACUACAAAACCUAGCGAUUAAGGAGUGAAGGAAGAAACUGCUUACUUGUGGAAGGUAAAACACUGUCGGUUUUUGACAAUGGCAGCUCGUUUGCUCUGAGUUCAUACUGUUUUUCGUUGGACUCUCUUCUUGGCUCUUGUAAUCUACAGCAUGAAAGGGAGACUAAAUGAUGCAGGAAAGAAGUUGGGGUAUGAGAAAAUCUGUUGGUAGAAUUUGAAACUGGUCAAGUAACAGGUGGUUGGGUGGGGAGACAAGGUGAUUGCAACUAUAAAAAAGCUAUUUGGUAAAAAGAUGGGAGGGAAUUCUGUACAAAAUAAAGCAUGUUCUCACUGUCAACCACUUUGUUAAAACAAUUAGAUUGUCCUUAAUGUCUCGUUGCUUUAGAAAAUUUAGAAAAAGAGCAAAAGACUUGGAGUCCAGGAGUUGCUUUACUGCAACCAAAUUG